CACGCUCGUUGAAAACUACUCUCAAGUGAGUAAACUAUACUCACUUUCAAACUUUUGCUAAAUCUGUCAAAGCUGUUGUGAUGCAGUGAUUGAUCGUAGCCGUAUCCGAAAAAUAAAACAAGUUGCAGGAGAUUCUUGUGUGCCCAGCUGCAAGCCGGCGGAACACCUAAAAUCGAUGCUGAAAUGGAUCACAUUGCAGAAGCAGUGGACCCGGAAUCCUUCCGGCAACCAACAGGUGAGACGGGUGAGACUUAAAAAAAAUGUUAAUAACGACGCCAUUUGCCAACAUGUAAAAUUGUUAUUUAUUAUUAUUUAUUUAUUUUUAACUAAAAAUUUGGAAAUGUAAAAUUGUUGUCGCCGGUUAUAUGUCUGACGAGGUGGCUGAGCAGCGGAUCUGGAAUGCCACUUCUGGGAGGUACAUUUCCUUAACGCCAGUAAAACAGCUAAAAAUUCGUAUAUUCGGAAAGUGGGAGCAUCAUUGAAACUUAAGACAAGGACUAAAGAAGAAGAUUGAUGGAGCACCUGAGGUUUGAAAAGAACGUACGGUAACACCGCUUAUUCGUUGGGUAAAACCCAUGACUAACAACGGCGAAGAUUCGGCUGAUCAAGUGCGGUAGAUCCGCACAUAGCUUGCAUAAAUCAGCCAGGGAAGUUUAAAGUGUUUUUAUAACUUUAUUAUAAUGUUGUGUAACAUACAAUAAAUACUAUAGAAUAAAUAAAAAGUAAGCAAGAUAAAUGAAUAACAAUUCCAAAAGCCAUCCCGAGGAAUGUUUAUCUACUCACUUUCGCUAAUUUUGCUAAAAAUAAAAGUGAGUAAAUACUACUCACUUUCAACAAAAUCAAUGGUUACUCUAAAGAGAGUAAAUCCGCUUUACUCUCUUUUGAGCUGAUGCACUUUGUAAUGAAGUGAGUGGAAUUCUACUCACUUUAGAGUAGUUUUCAAUGA